CUCUGCAGCACUUUGGAACUUUGGCUUAAGAAUAACAGGAGACUUGAACUAAUUGUCCUGCCAUUAAAAUGCAUGGAGAUACUCAUCUAUGAGGAGAAGGGGGCCCUGCCAGCCAGGAUUUUCUCACGGAAACUGGGGAGACCCAAAGCAACUCUACAAUUGUGCUCCAUGGAGAAUAAAGCCCUCAGAGCACUGGACAACUUACCUGUCAGGUUCUUACACCUGCAAAAGAAGAAACGUGAGAACGAUUGAGUUGCUGUGAAGU